CUUUUGCGUGGGACUUAGGCACUGACCUCUACUACUACUACGCUGGACCUGCGAUUGCCGCUCUGUUUUUGAAGCAACUUGAUUUUCUCCAUUUUGGCGCUGAUAAAAGCAGUGAGCGAUAUGUGAGCCCAAAUGUUUGUGAUGUCUGUCAAUAUAGUGUCAACGCGAAGACCAGUUGAGACGAAGUGUCAAUUUUAAU